UAAAUGGCGAAGAAAAGAAGAGUAGUUUUUGACUUAUAGUAAGAGAGACGUUACGGUGGGUGCAAGUAACGAUAAGUAAAAACGAACCACAUCUUGGAGCUAGGCAUCGAAAUAAAUAAUAAAAGUAGAUGUUCUCGUGCGCGAGCGUUAAUCGCAUACGUUUCUAGUAACGUUUUGAGGCAAACUGCGUGAGCGUUUUGCAAAUUUAAGGUGGAACCACGAUCCAUUUAAUCGUCCUUUAC
rnacentral:ncRNA from 1 species